rnacentral:rRNA from 1 species
AUUGAACGCUGGCGGCAUGCCUUACACAUGCAAGUCGAACGGUAACAGGUCUUCGGAUGCUGACGAGUGGCGAACGGGUGAGUAAUUCAUCGGAACGUGCCUAGUAGUGGGGGAUAACUACUCGAAAGAGUGGCUAAUACCGCAUGAGAUCUACGGAUGAAAGCAGGGGAUCGCAAGACCUUGUGCUACUAGAGCGGCCGAUGGCAGAUUAGGUAGUUGGUGGGAUAAAAGCUUACCAAGCCGACGAUCUGUAGCUGGUCUGAGAGGACGAUCAGCCACACUGGGACUGUGACACGGCCCAGACUCCUACGGGAGGCAGCAGUGGGGAAUUUUGGACAAUGGGCGCAGGCCUGAUCCAGCAAUGCCGCGUGCAGGAUGAAGGCCUUCGGGUUGUAAACUGCUUUUGUACGGAACGAAAAGCCCCGGGUUAAUACCCUGGGGUCAUGACGGUACCGUAAGAAUAAGCACCGGCUAACUACGUGCCAGCCGCCGCGGUAA